rnacentral:rRNA from 1 species
AACACUAGGAACACCUGUGCUUUUUAUACCAGAAAAAUUUUUCAUCUGAGUGAAAAGACUCAGAUAAUGAAGGAAGACGAAAAGACCCCGCGGAACUUUACCUUUUCCUGCACUCCUGCCCAGGAGCACAAAAGUGCAACAG